rnacentral:rRNA from 1 species
GUUUGAUUCAUGGCUCAGAUUGAACGCUGGUGGCAGGCUUAACACAUGCAAGUCGAGCGGGGGAAGGUAGCUUGCUACUGGACCUAGCGGCGGACGGGUGAGUAAUGCUUAGGAAUCUGCCUAUUAGUGGGGGACAACAUCUCGAAAGGGAUGCUAAUACCGCAUACGUCCUACGGGAGAAAGCAGGGGAUCUUCGGACCUUGCGCUAAUAGAUGAGCCUAAGUCGGAUUAGCUAGUUGGUGGGGUAAAGGCCUACCAAGGCGACGAUCUGUAGCGGGUCUGAGAGGAUGAUCCGCCACACUGGGACUGAGACACGGCCCAGACUCCUACGGGAGGCAGCAGUGGGGAAUAUUGGACAAUGGGGGGAACCCUGAUCCAGCCAUGCCGCGUGUGUGAAGAAGGCCUUAUGGUUGUAAAGCACUUUAAGCGAGGAGGAGGCUACUUUAGUUAAUACCUAGAGAUAGUGGACGUACUCGCAGAAUAAGCACCGG